rnacentral:rRNA from 1 species
UACAGAGGUCCCAAGCGUUGUUCGGAUUCACUGGGCGUAAAGGGUGCGUAGGCGGUCGGGUAAGUCUGAUGUGAAAUCUCACAGCUUAACUGUGAAACUGCAUUGGAUACUAUCCGGCUCGAGGAAUGGAGGGGAGACUGGAAUACUUGGUGUAGCAGUGAAAUGCGUAGAUAUCAAGUGGGACACCAGUGGCGAAGGCGAGUCUCUGGACAUUUCCUGACGCUGAGGCACGAAAGCCAGGGGAGCAAACGGG